AUUGAACGCUGGCGGCGUGCCUAACACAUGCAAGUCGAGCGGUAACAGGUGUAGCAAUACAUGCUGACGAGCGGCGGACGGGUGAGUAACGCUUGGGAAUCUGCCUAUUAGUGGGGGACAACCCGGGGAAACUCGGGCUAAUACCGCAUACGCUCUACGGAGGAAAGCCGGGGACCGCAAGGCCUGGCGCUAAUAGAUGAGCCCAAGUCGGAUUAGCUAGUUGGUAGGGUAAUGGCCUACCAAGGCGACGAUCCGUAACUGGUCUGAGAGGACGACCAGUCACACCGGAACUGAGACACGGUCCGGACUCCUACGGGAGGCAGCAGUGGGGAAUAUUGGACAAUGGGCGCAAGCCUGAUCCAGCAACGCCGCGUGGAGGACGAAGGUCUUCGGAUCGUAAACUCCUGUCAGAUGGGAAGAAUGGGCGUCGGCAAAUAGUCGACGUUCUUGACUGUACCAUCAGAGGAAG
rnacentral:rRNA from 1 species